ACUCAGUGGUCAGGACUCAACACACGAUGCUCACCAUGGACUGUGUGCUCAGCUGGAUUUUCCUUGUGGCUGUUUUCAAAGGUGUGCAGUGUGAGGUGCAGCUGGUGGAGUCUGGGGGAGGCCUGGUGCAGCCUGGGGGGACCCUGCGACUCUCCUCUGCAGCCUCUGGAUUCACCUUCAGUGACUACCGGAUGCACUGGGUCCGCCAGGCUCCAGGGAAGGGACUGGAGUGUGAUGCUCUUAUAAGAAGCAAAGGUUAUAGUUACACCACUGAAUAUGGAGCAUCUGUAAAAGGCCGAUUCACAGUCUCCAGGGUCAAUGCAAAGAACAUGCUCCACCUGCAAAUGAAGAGUCUGAGUGUCGAGGACACGGCCACCUAUUACUCUGCCAGAGACAUACACAUGGCUGACAUCAAUCAGGAGAUCACAGGCCAGGACAUCUCUGUGCCCUUGAGAGAUUCCCCACCCACAGUCUGCUCCAGCAUGAGUGACCCAGCUCCCACCAAGUGUGGGGUCAUGCACACCAUGUUCUCUGACAAUGUCACAAGAGACAACUCCAAGAACAGGCUCUACCUGCAAAUGAGCAGCCUGAGAGCCGAGGACACAGCCAUCUAUUACUGUGCUGGAGACACAGUAAGUGGGCCUCAGUGUGUCCUGUGCCAGGUGCAGCUGCAGGAGUCAGGACCUGACCUGGUGAAGCCCUCACAGAUACUGUCGCUCAACUGUGCUGUGUUUGAAUUCUCCAUCACAACCAGCUAA